GAUGAACGCUAGCGGGAGGCUUAACACAUGCAAGUCGAGGGGCAGCAUGGGGUAGCAAUACCCUGAUGGCGACCGGCAGACGGGUGAGUAACGCGUAUGUAACCUACCCUGUACAGGGGGAUAACCCGGAGAAAUUCGGACUAAUAUCCCAUAGAAAUAUUGAAGGGCAUCUUUUGAUAUUUAAAGUUCCGACGGUACGGGAUGGGCAUGCGUAACAUUAGCUAGUUGGUAAGGUAACGGCUUACCAAGGCUUUGAUGUUUAGGGGUCCUGAGAGGGUGGUCCCCCACACUGGUACUGAGACACGGACCAGACUCCUACGGGAGGCAGCAGUGAGGAAUAUUGGUCAAUGGGCGCAAGCUUGAACCAGCCAUCCCGCGUGCAGGAAGACGGCGCUAUGCGUUGUAAACUGCUUUUCCAGGGGGAGAAACUUGCGCACGUGUUGCGCAAUUGACGGUACCCUGGAAUAAGCAUCGGCUAACUCCGUGCCAGCCGCCGCAGUAACAC
rnacentral:rRNA from 1 species